GCGCACCAGUCGAGAAUUUUUCUCAAUGGGGGAAACCCUGAAGGAGCGACGCCGCGUGGAGGAUGAAGGUCUUCGGGUUGUAAACUCCUGUCAUUUGAGAACAAGUGGCCGAACGUAACUGCUUCGGCCUUGAUAGUAUCAGAAGAGGAAGGGACGGCUAACUCUGUGCCAGCAGCCGCGGUAAUACAGAGGUCUCAAGCGUUGUUCGGAUUCAUUGGGCGUAAAGGGUGCGUAGGUGGCGCCGUAAGUCGGGUGUGAAAUUUCGGAGCUUAACUCCGAAACUGCAUUCGAUACUGCGGUGCUUGAGGACUGGAGAGGAGACUGGAAUUUACGGUGUAGCAGUGAAAUGCGUAGAGAUCGUAAGGAAGACCAGUGGCGAAGGCGGGUCUCUGGACAGUUCCUGACACUGAUGCACGAAGGCCAGGGGAGCAAACGGGAUUAGAUACCCGUGUAGU
rnacentral:rRNA from 1 species